CCUACGGGGAGCAGCAGUGGGGAAUAUUGCACAAUGGGGGAAACCCUGAUGCAGCGACGCCGCGUGAGUGAAGAAGUAUCUCGGUACGUAAAGCUCUAUCAGCAGGGAAGAAAAUGACGGUACCUGACUAAGAAGCCCCGGCUAACUACGUGCCAGCAGCCGCGGUAAUACGUAGGGGGCAAGCGUUAUCCGGAUUUACUGGGUGGAAAGGGAGCGUAGACGGCAGCGCAAGUCUGGAGUGAAAUCCCGGGGCGAAACCCCGGAACUGCUUUGGAAAGUGGGCGGCUGGAGUGCAGGAGGGGUAAGCGGAAUGCCUAGUGUAGCGGUGAAAUGCGGAGAUAUUAGGGGGAACACCGGUGGCGAAGGCGGCUUAAUGGACUGUAACUGACGUUGAGGCUCGAAAGCGUGGGGAGCAAACAGGAUGAGAUACCAUAGUAGUC
rnacentral:rRNA from 1 species